GCGGUUGUGGCUCAACGGUAGAGCACUCGCCUAGCAUGUGCGAGGCCCUGGGUUCAAUCCUCAGCACCACA
rnacentral:tRNA from 1 species